ensembl:lncRNA CEROX1 cytoplasmic endogenous regulator of oxidative phosphorylation 1
GGGGCCUGCGCUGACCCCGGCGCUGAGUCCCUGGGGCCGCCGGGCGGAUGGCGUGGCCGGACGCGGGGGCCCCGGGCCUUCCGGGCGUGACCUAGGGCUCGGGGGCGGGGAGGCCCCUCCGGCGGGGCGGCCCUGGGUGGUCCGGCAGAGGCGGAGGCCGCUCCGAGCCUGUGAGCCCUGGGCGCCUGCGGAGGCGGGGAGAGGGCGGGGUGUGCCGCCCUGGUGGGGACCGCGGGGUCGGAGAGGGGACAUUGCCCCCCCCGAGGCGAACGUCCAACCGCGGGUCCGGGUCCCCGCCCAAGGCCGCCCCGCGAGGUGGCCUCGGCCCGGCCGUCCCCGAGGGUGGCUCGGAUCCUUUCAACCAGCGCGCUGGAGGCGAAGGGGCUGCGCCAUUCCGGGUCAGGCAGCCAACGCGGGACACGCGCGUCUCCGAGCUUGCGGCCCGCGAAACCCGGGUGACCUACCGCGCCGGUGCCCUCAAAGCCCCCACGCCCGGGCCGGUGGCCGCUGCAGCCACUGAGCCACGCGGUCUCCCCGGCCCGGUCGGCAGAAGGAGCUGGUCCGUUACUAGAAAAGUCCAGAUGCAAAGUCGGGGGUCGUGCUGCCGCUUCCUGCCAGCGCACCGCACCCACCUGGGGCCGCCACCGACCGCACAGGACGCGCCUCCUACCCCCUGUUCUGGCCCGGCCGAGAGCUGGUGCCCCCAGCGGCCGCCCGCCCCCGUCCGCAGACCCCGGGGCCCUUGCUGCUUUGCAUUGGGAACAACCGGAGCCAGGCCCGGAGCUGAGGGGGCCAGGGCCUUUGGAGGAAGCAUUGGCCUCCAGGCUGAAGAGCAAGGGCCGUGUCACCUGCCCGGAGGGCGGUCUCAUCUCUGCAGCCAGACAUCGCCCACUCGGGCUCACAGUGCCAUCCGGGUGAGGACCUCCGUGGAGAGCUCUCUUUGCCAAAGAAAAGCAGUUGCAUUAGGUCUGCGAGCAGGCAGGGUGGCCUCUUCCUGGCUCCCCAUCCACCAAGGAAGCUUCAAGUCCCUGGGACACAGGCACUUUCCCACACAGGAUGGAGCCGGGCCACCCUCACAGCUCCUGCCCUGCAGACGCUGGCCUUGUGGAGGGAGGCAGGCAGCAGGAGCAGUGCUUUCUGGGCCUCUGUAGCCAGAGCUGGCCCUGCUGCAGCUUACGUCUGCCUGCAGCCCAGACGUCCUCCUGGUCCUCCUGAUGCCCCCGACCUCCACGGAGGACGAGCAUUUCCAGCCCAGCCCUCCCCAUCUUCACCUCGCACUCCCCUGACACACUGGGAGCCUCCUGAUCCGUGAACCCGCGCUGGCGGGAGUAGCUACUGACCGCUGGGGACCCCUGCCCAGGCUGUUCGCAUGUGGAAAGGAUUCAGGGAGCAGGCGAUGCCCAAAGCGUGGAGACCAGCACUGCUCUCUCCCCAGUGACAGGUGCACGCCCAGAUCACGGAUGUGUCGGGAACAGCUGUGCUCCUGCUGCUCAGCGUCCGUCACUCCAGGCUGGGAGCGGGUCCCCAAGCUUCUGGCUGGGCCUAUCCGUCUCCACUCUCAGUGUGGGGGUGGGGGGCGCCAACAGCACGCAUUUGCUCUCUGCACUUCUCGUCUGAUAAUGGGCAGAGGGUCCUUCUGCAGCCCCAAAACAUCCCUAGGCAGGAGCCCUGGGGCCCCAAGCAGCCAGGGAGGUGAGCACCAAGGACCUCCCAGAGAGCGUCACCUUCCGUCGAGGGAGGCCCAGCCUGGGGGCGGUGUCUGAGACUUGGAAUCAACGCUUCCGUUGGUGGCAGUAAAUCCUGUCCCUAACCCUGCAGUACAGCUGUGCCGUGUACAGGAGGGUGCUGUCUGACGCCAGACACCUGGACUACAGAUCGCAGCCUGAUUCCUGGUCAUUGCUCCACUGAACCCCAGACCCCAGCCUCGUUCUGGGCCCUCAUCCCCUAGAUCCAGGGACCCCAGCCCCAUUUCAGCCCUUGGGCCCUUGUAGGAUGCGAGGCCCUGGGCCCCAGCCCCCAGCCCAUCCGUGGCCCAGGCACUGGGGGGCUGAGGUCCUCUGAGAAGGGACACAGGGCCUGGGGGGCUCUCUCAGCCCAUCAGCAGGAGAGGACUGACUCCAGAAAAAUCAGCGUUUGUACCCACUCAGGCUGCCAAGACCUGUGUCCGUCCUUCCAAGCUCAACCUUCAGAGUUCAUGAGGCCCCUUGCCCAGAAUGUCCACAGAGUUCAUGAGGCCCCUUGCCCGGAAUGUCCACAUUUGAAACCUCCCAACACCGAGCCCCAUUUCAAGUAUAACCAGGAGGGAAAAUGGUGCUUGAAAUAAGCAUGCCACAAAGGAAAACCUGCUUUCUCGAAAUGGGCCCUGGCCGCCCAGGCCCUGACCUCCCCGGCCAGGAUGGAACGUUCCAGAGACCCAUUAGUGCCAAAGGCAAAUGAAAACACACCCUGUGAAAAUGUC